rnacentral:rRNA from 1 species
AGUGAACGCUGGCGGCAGGCCUAACACAUGCAAGUCGAACGGCAGCACAGCAGUAGCAAUACUGUGGGUGGCGAGUGGCGGACGGGUGAGGAAUACAUCGGAAUCUGCCUUAUCGUGGGGGAUAACGUAGGGAAACUUACGCUAAUACCGCAUACGACCUACGGGUGAAAGCGGAGGACCUUCGGGCUUCGCGCGAUAAGAUGAGCCGAUGUCGGAUUAGCUAGUUGGCGGGGUAAAGGCCCACCAAGGCGACGAUCCGUAGCUGGUCUGAGAGGAUGAGCAGCAACACUGGAACUGGGACACGGGCCAACCUCCUACGGGAGGCAGCAGUGGGGAAUAUUGGACAAUGGGCGCAAGCCUGAUCCAGCCAUGCCGCGUGGGUGAAGAAGGCCUUCGGGUUGUAAAGCCCUUUUGUCCGGAAAGAAAAGCAUCGGGUUAAUACCUCGGUGUUCUGACGGUACCGGAAGAAUAAGCACCGGCUAACUUCGUGCCAGCAGCCGCCGUAAAAC